rnacentral:rRNA from 1 species
UACAGAGGUCCCAAGCGUUGUUCGGAUUCACUGGGCGUAAAGGGUGCGUAGGCGGGCUGACAAGUCUGGGGUGAAAUCCCGCGGCUCAACCGUGGAACUGCCUUAGAUACUGUCGGCCUCGAGGAAGGUAGGGGCAUGCGGAACUGUAGGUGGAGCGGUGAAAUGCGUUGAUAUCUACAGGAACUCCGGUGGCGAAAGCGGCGUGCUGGACCUUUUCUGACGCUGAGGCGCGAAAGCUAGGGGAGCAAACGGG